UACAGAGACUGCAAGCGUUAUUCGGAUUCACUGGGCGUAAAGGGUGCGCAGGCGGCCGAGUGUGUUAGAUGUGAAAUCCCGGGGCUCAACCCCGGAACUGCGUCUAAAACUACUUGGCUAGAGUAUUGGAGGGGGUAGCGGAAUUCACGGUGUAGCAGUGAAAUGCGUAGAUAUCGUGAGGAACACCAGAGGCGAAGGCGGCUACCUGGACAAUUACUGACGCUCAGGCACGAAAGCGUGGGGAGCAAAAGGG
rnacentral:rRNA from 1 species